AUUACCUUGCAGGGUUAACUCCUCCUCUAGUGGCUGUCUACUAGACAGCCACUAGAGGGCACUUCCUGCUUCAUAGCACAGCGUCGCUGGAGGUCCUCAUGCUGUGUGAGGACCUCCAGCGUUGCUAAAAUCCCCAUAGGAAAGCAUUGAAAAUUAUUUUCAAUGCUUUCCUAUGGAGAGGUCUAAUGCGCCUGCGCGGCAUUGCCGCACAUGUGCAUUAGGUCUUCCCCGCCGGCUGAUGUGAUGAAGGGGAGGAGCGUGAGCGGAGGAAGAAGCAGCGACGUGGGA